GAAAAAUGCAGAGAAACUUGGGCUGAAGUAGACAAUACAACCGAGCCCUUCACAGAAAGUGAGAAGGACUUGCAAGCAAAGGGGAGCUGAAGGAUUGUCAAAAGAAGACAAAGGACUUUCCAGAAUUUUAUCUAUUUCUUUCAUACCCUGAAGGAAAUUUGCCUUUGCAUAACAGCAGUUUGCCAGGCUACUGAGUGGUUAGCCUGAAAAUAAAUAAAUAAAUAGAGAAAGCCGAGGUGGGCCAGAGGAGCGUAGCACAAUGUUUUAUGCAAGAGCGGUGAAGAACGUGUCGGCCUGUUGUCAGCUAAUUGCUGCUUGUCUCCAGCUCCAUCAGGUCUGAAAGCAUGCUGUUUUCUCUCUGUCCAUAAGGAAGGAAACUUCUUGUGGUCCUGCUGAGAGAGAGAUUGAUGAUGGCUCUGUCCCUUGGUGAGAUGGACAUUGCAACAGGAGCAUUGUCACUGUAACUUCUGCCCAACUGUGAGAUUAGCUGUUUCAAAGGAUUAAUUGGUCAGUACAAGUCUACCUGGUCACUGAACUAAGAAAGGAAGUUACAUCAUUAAGUUAUCCUAAUUAUUAUAAAAUAAGUGAAUCACAGAAGAAUAUUUUAGACUAAGCAUUGUAAAACAAGUUGUUGACAAGGCAGAUACAGUGCUUCUUUUUAUUCUAAAGUACAGUGGGCACUGUAACUUAAUUGAAAAUAACCAUUCAAUCAUGUUGAUAAGGCAUAUGUAUGUCACUGUAAUUCUCAAAAUCCUGUGGUUUUUAAUGUCUCUCAGUCUUUCGGGUGAAUUGUCAGCUACUGCUGUGUGAUAGAUAAUCUGUGAACUCUUUUUACAUCAAAGUUACCUAAAACAUACACUGUAUGAAGUUUUGCUAUCUUCUUUUUGUCGCUGUACCUUUAUCACUAAAGUACUGUCGACCUGGUAUCUAACCCAAUUGAUACUGUGUUAAAAUUCUUGCUGUGACAGUCAUCAGUCUUAUUUUUAUGAUCUUGGAACACCAGGUUAGUGGACUUACAUGAGGUUAAUGGGGCUUUAAGAAAAUGUUACAUUUCUUUGGCACAAGAUAAGGUUCCCUUCUGAUGGGAGUCCUGUCACUUUUUAAGAUAUAACAACUUUCUCUGUCAUAGUUAUUAGUCUGUGCGAAAUGAUUUAUAGUUUUUCCUUGGCUUGCCUGCUGAAUCUUAGGAAAAAAAAUAAAUCUUAUGGCAUAUGCCAAUCGUUUGCCUUUUGGUAUGCAUGUAGAAAUAUGUAUUACUACAAGAGCUAGUGAAAGCACUCAGAUAGAACCAGAAAAGCUGUGCUGAUGACAGAGAGCAGUGCUCAGUUCCUG